rnacentral:rRNA from 1 species
CCGACUGCUAUUUGGGUGAGGAUAAGCCAUGCGAGUUGAAUGGGAAACCUAAAGUUCCCAUGGCAAACUGCUCAGUAACACAUGAUCAACUUACCCUAUAGAGAAAAAUAACCUCGGGAAACUGAGGAUAAUGUUUCAUAGUUGAAUUGGCUUGGAAAAGUUUUUCGACGAAAGGGGUAAAAAAAAUGGUUUUUAUCUGCUAUAGGAUAGGAUCGUGUUCGAUUAUGGUUGUUGGUGAGGUAAUGGCUCACCAAGCCGAUAAUCGAUAGGGGCCGUGAGAGCGGGAGCCCCGAGAUGGGUACUGAGACAACGACCCAGGCCUUACGAGGCGCAGCAGGCGCGAAACCUCCGCAAUACACGAAAGUGUGACGGGGUUACCCAAAGUGUUCAAUUUUGAACUGUGGUAGGUGAGUAAUGUUCCCUACUAGAAAGGAGAGGGCAAGGCUGGUGCCAGCCGCCGCGGUAAAACCAGCUCUUCAAGUGGUCGGGAUAAUUAUUGGGCUUAAAGUGUCCGUAGCCGGUUUAGUAAGUUCCUGGUAAAAUCGGGUAGCUUAACUAUCUAUAUGCUAGGAAUACUACUAUACUAGAGGGCGGGAGAGGUCUGAGGUACUACAGGGGUAGGGGUGAAAUCUUAUAAUCCUUGUUGGACCACCAGUGGCGAAGGCGUCAGACUGGAACGCGCCUGACGGUGAGGGACGAAAGCCAGGGGAGCGAACCGGAUUAGAUACCCGGGUAGUCCUGGCCGUAAACGAUGCAUACUAGGUGAUGGCACGGCCAUGAGCCGUGUCAGUGCCGUAGGGAAACCGUUAAGUGUGCCGCCUGGGAAGUA